rnacentral:lncRNA from 1 species
UUGUUUUGGCCAUUUUUUCCUUACGCGUUUCAUUUUCCCAUUCCAACCCUAGAGCGUUGCGGCUCUCCUCCACUGCGUGCUCUACCAUCAUUUUCCACCUCCGCAAUGUGUCGCCUCCUCCUGGUCCACCACAACUUGUGUCGUCUUUCACGAUCUUCUCAAACUAGGCUCUUCCUUCUCCUACGCGGACGUCUCGGGUCUUCCUCCUCUGUGUUCGUGACGACUUCUCUUCUGUUUCACGGUGGUCUGGGCUCCUUCGCUUCUUCCUCCUACCAUCAUUGUGUCUAGUGGUUGUUGUCUCCAAUGGGGUUCUUCCCCAAAUCAUUUGUGUCGUACUCCUCCUCCCAUCUUAUCCUCACAAGUGUGCACCAACCAGUGAAUGAUUUUGCUUCUUCCCACAGUUUGUGCUCUGUUCGUUCAUUUUUUCUUUUCAUUUUCUUAAUUUGAACACAAUAUUCCAGUUACUAGGAUUGAGUUUUGGGAUUGAAAGAUUGAACUUAAACAUGUAUCUUGGUGGAGCUGAAUUCCAUAUUUGAACUUUGUAGAAGGUGAGUUUAAUCUAUUUAUUUGGUAUUUUCAUUUUGUUGUUGACUUUUGAAAUUUAUGGUGGGAGUGGUCAAAGCAUUAUCUCUAAUUGUUUAUUUUAGUAGGAUUUAGAAUGAAUAUCUAUGACUAACUGGUUCAGUUAUCCAUUUAGUUGUUUUUACAUUUGUCACUACCUUUUAAUGUGUUCGCCAGUUGUUAGGGUUGACUCCCUUUUGGUGCCAUUGGGCAUGUUUUUAUAUGGGCCUAGUUAUCUAUUUUGGGCUUUAAAUUAAGUAGGUCCAAAAAGACAUGUUUAAGUGCUCGGGUCCGGUACAUAGCCUCCCACCCUCGAACCGAGAAGGACGAGGCGAAGAGGCUUACCUAUGCCAGUUUUGAAAAGACAUUUGGUUUUGAGGGUGGUUGGUUCAAAAAUUUUGAAGUGUCACCUGAUGGGACGGUUUCGUCCCACUAAUUAUAGUACGUACAUGUGUUAUGCCAUCAACGGUUGAGAAACACUGUCGUUUUAACUUUCCCUUUGAAAAGAUUAAAAACUUGUUUCUUCCUCAUUUUACUUGUUACGCUUGCAUAGAAUUAUCAAAGAAAAGAAAACUUUCUCUUGCCUUCAGAGUGCCACCUUGCUCCACUGCAAACCAUCAAAAAUCAGGUAUGUUUCAUCAUACAUAUCUCCUUUUGG